rnacentral:rRNA from 1 species
CCUACGGGAGGCAGCAGUGGGGAAUAUUGCACAAUGGGGGAAACCCUGAUGCAGCGACGCCGCGUGAGUGAAGAAGUAUUUCGGUACGUAAAGCUCUAUCAGCAGGGAAGAAAGAAAUGACGGUACCUGACUAAGAAGCCCCGGCUAACUACGUGCCAGCAGCCGCGGUAAUACGUAGGGGGCAAGCGUUAUCCGGAUUUACUGGGUGUAAAGGGAGCGUAGACGGCGAUGCAAGUCUGAAGUGAAAGGCGGGGGCCCAACCUCCGGACUGCUUUGGAAACUGUAUGGCUGGAGUGCAGGAGAGGUAAGUGGAAUUCCUAGUGUAGCGGUGAAAUGCGUAGAUAUUAGGAGGAACACCAGUGGCGAAGGCGGCUUACUGGACUGUAACUGACGUUGAGGCUCGAAAGCGUGGGGAGCAAACAGGAUUAGAUACCCGAGUAGUC